rnacentral:rRNA from 1 species
AUUGAACGCUUGCGGCAGGCUUAACACAUGCAAGUCGAACGAGAGGAGGACGGGUGAGUAAUGUCUGGGAAACUGCCUGAUGGAGGGGGAUAACUACUGGAAACGGUCGCUAAUACAGAAUACCAUCAGAUGUGCCCAGAUGGGAUUGGCUAGUAGGUGGGGUAAUGGCUCAACUAGGCGACCAUCCCUCGCGGGUCUGAGAGGAUGACCAGCCACACUGGAACUGGGACACGGUCCAGACUCCUACGGGAGGCAGCAGUGGGGAAUAUUGCACAAGGGGCGCAAGCCUGAUGCAGCCAUGCCGCGUGUGUGAAGAAGGCCUUCGGGUUGUAAAGCACUUUCAGCGAGGAGGCGUUACUCGCAGAAGAAGCACCGGCUAACUCCGUGCCAGCAGCCGCGGUAAUUC